AUCUACUCUACUCUUCAUCUUUUCUUCAAAUUCAAGCACUACUCCUUUAAAUAACCACUCAAAGACCAAUCCCCAUCACCAUAUGCCUAGCUCAUGGCCAACAUCACCCAUGAAACUGGCAUCACAGCCCUGCCGGCCACCUAUGUGAACCUCCACAAAUGGCUGGAAUCCGACACGGAGUUUGAGAGAUCAGGGAGCUACAAGGGCUGCCGGCCGGCGGAUGUGCAUGGGCACCCUAGGGUUGUGGACAGCAGAUCAUGCAGACAAUUGUACUUGCGGAGCUACACAUUUUCAAGAAAAGAAAGUGUUCCUGAGAAGGCCAAGAAGUGUAUAGGCAAAGUUAAAGAGAGAAUCAAGAAUAAAAGAUCAUCAAGACAAAGAUCAUCAUCUUCAUCUCCAUCUUCAUCAAAAGCUAGCAAUAAUAUCGAGAAGAUAAGAUUUGGUAAAAGAGAUUCUUUAAGGAGAGUGCCAUGUGCUGCUUUGUUCUCUAUGUUCAAGAGAUUGCUAUCUUGCACUACCAAGGUUGAUGUGGUUGAACAUGGAGAUCAAUGACCCAUUACUCUUAAGUUUUUCCUUUUUUAACCUUUUUUUUAAUAUUUUUUUGGUGAUGGCUCUAUAAUUUCUUCUCUAAUUGCUAUUUAUCUAUGAAUUAAGGAAUAUAUUUUCUGGUUUGGAUUAGG
rnacentral:misc_RNA from 1 species